rnacentral:rRNA from 1 species
UGGGGAAUCUUGCACAAUGGGGGAAACCCUGAUGCAGCGACGCCGCGUGAGCGAUGAAGCCCUUCGGGGUGUAAAGCUCUUUCGGCAGGGACGAUAAUGACGGUACCUGAAGAAGAAGCUGCGGCUAACUACGUGCCAGCAGCCGCGGUAAUACGUAGGCAGCGAGCGUUGUUCGGAGUUACUGGGCGUAAAGAGUGCGUAGGCGGUGGCCCAAGUCUGGUGUGAAAUCUCCCGGCUCAACCGGGAGGGUGCGCCGGAAACUGGGUUGCUUGAGUACUGGAGAGGCAAGCGGAAUUCCUGGUGUAGCGGUGAAAUGCGUAGAUAUCAGGAGGAACACCCGUGGUGUAGACGGCUUGCUGGACAGUCACUGACGCUGAGGCACGAAAGCGUGGGGAGCAAACAGG